UCAUGCUUCACUAUCCAAUUUACAUAUACACAAACCAUACAUCAUAACACUACAGUCUCCAUAUCUAUUUAAUAUCCAAUUUUCAAAUCAAAACAGUAUAUCUCAAAACCAUGUUUCUUAUUUCAUAUUUCUCAUGUUCGAAUCAUAGAACCACAAGGUCAUAUAACGAGCACAUAUAACACACAUUCAUUUGUAUACAUUUCUUUCAUUCAUGAUAAUAUAUUUCACAUAUCGUCAUUAGAAACAUAUUCACCUUCCAUUUCCGAAUUUCAUAUACAAUUCACACGUACCAGAAUCAUAUAUGGCAAACACAAUUACCAUUUCACAUUUCUCAUAUAAUUCAUUUAAUUAUAGUUCACUUGCUAUUAACCACAUCUCAUUUUCACAUAGAUCAUAAUCAUACUCACUUUCAUUGCUCAAUU
rnacentral:lncRNA from 1 species